AUUUUUUCCUCAUUUUAAAUAUGGAAAAAUGUGGAAAAAAAUACGGAGAGAAUUAACAAUACGGAAAAGCAGAAAAUAUAUGGAAAUAAUCCGGAAAAUGUAUGGAAAUAAUACGGAGAAUUGGACUUAGUCUAUUUUUCAUCUGGAAAAAUAUUGAACUCUUAACUUAGAAUAUUUUUCAUCUGGAAAAAAUACGGAGCUCUGGACUUAGAAUUUUUUUUAUCAAGAACAAGAUGUGUUUGUUAAACAUGGUAGCGCCUGGCAGCAACAAACUUCUAAAAAGCAAUUUUUAGCAAAUGGGUUUCAGUCAAGGUCACAAGGUCAUUGACCUUGGUGUCAUUUGAAAGCACUUAUUUAGUGGAGUAUGCAUACACACCAAAUAUUAAGUCUCUAUCAUCUAUGGUUCAAAAGUUAUGGUGAAAAUUCGAAAAAAGCUAUUUUUAGCACAAAGGUCACAGUCAAGGUCACAAGGUCAUUGCCCUUGGUGUCAGUUGAAAGUGCUUCUGCAGUGGAGUAUGCAUACCAAAUAUGAAGUCUCUAUCUCUCACGGUUCAAAAGUUAAUUAUUGCAAAAGUUCGAAAAAGCUAUUUUUAGCAUAUAGGUCACAGUCAAGGUCACAAGGUCAUUGACCUUGGUGUCAGUUGAAAGUGCUUUUGUAGUGGAGUAUGCAUACCAAAUAUGAAGUCUCUAAGUCUUACGGUUCAAAAGUAAUGGCGAAGGUUAAAGUUGACAACAGACAGAAAAACAGACAGACAAACAGCUAAACAGACAGACAAGACAAAAACAAUAUGCGCCCCGAAAAAAUUCGGGCACAUAAAAACUGUCUUGGAGUUAACAACAGUUCUUUGUUUCUCCUGAAUGUUAUGUACAAUUUGAUCGGGAUCGGAAAAAUGUUUCAAAAAGUCGGGCUCAUUGAUCAAUUAAUUUAAACAACAGACCGCCAAAAUUUAACCUUGGCUUCCAUGUUGUAACGUCUGCUCUGUCAAAAGGAGGAAGUUUGUUGACCAGACAGCCCGAGAUCGUAUUGCUGUAUCAACCAAAAGAUGCAGAUACACAUAUUUCAUAUGCGCGUCUGUGCAUAAGGAGGAGAUUUCCUUAAAAAGAAUAAGUGGUUAUUCCUGCGAUUUUAACAGGCUUAAAGCUGGUCCAUGGAUGGUUAUGUAUGAGGAUUUGCCAAUUCAACCGCAAGUACUGCUGCAAGAAAUUAAACAUGCAGUGACCUUACAAAUUACAAAGAAGUCUGAUGACAGGGCUCUCACACCACUUUUUGGGACUGGGGCCGGGGCCGUUCAAAUUGGGAAAAUUAUCGUCAUUUUGGGAAAAGUUGGAUGACCAACAUUCAUUAAAAAAAAAUCUCAAAUUUUGCUUUUCUAGCAUUUUGUCAUCAAUUUAACUCUAGUAUUGAAUAAAUAGGUAAACAUCUAACAAACAUCGAUAUGUAGGCAAUUUAUUGAAAGUACAUUAGCUUUGUCAUAACUAUCUUUGAGUGUUGAUAUUACGGUUAUAUGUCUUUCUGAGUGACAGUCGCUAGUCACAUAGUCCCGAAUUUCCUCGAUUACAUGAUCAUCGUUGCUUACAGCAUGAGACUGAACAUGCUGAAUCUUGGACAUGUUUCUAGGAGCCGCUUACUAAUGUUCAUAUGAAAUGUCUAUUUUUGAAAACUGAAAAUGAUGUUUUUUGUCGAUUUUCAUGACAAGAUACUCUGCAAUCAUAGUUAUACAUUUCUGUAAUAACACUAACCUGGUUCCCCGAACCAGUUUACGAAUGCACUUGGCGCG